rnacentral:rRNA from 1 species
GGUUAAGCGACUAAGCGUACACGGUGGAUGCCCUGGCAGUCAGAGGCGAUGAAGGACGUGCUAAUCUGCGAAAAGCGUCGGUAAGGUGAUAUGAACCGUUAUAACCGGCGAUGUCCGAAUGGGGAAACCCAGUGCAAUUCGUUGCACUAUCGUUAACUGAAUACAUAGGUUAACGAGGCGAACCGGGGGAACUGAAACAUCUAAGUACCCCGAGGAAAAGAAAUCAACCGAGAUUCCCCAGUAGCGGCGAGCGAACGGGGAGCAGCCCAGAGUCUGAAUCAGCUUGUGUGUUAGUGGAACGGUCUGGAAAGUCCGACGGUACAGGGUGAUAGUCCCGUACACCAAAAUGCACAGGCUGUGAACUCGAAGAGUAGGGCGGGACACGUGGUAUCCUGUCUGAAUAUGGGGGGACCAUCCUCCAAGGCUAAAUACUCCUGACUGACCGAUAGUGAACCAGUACCGUGAGGGAAAGGCGAAAAGAACCCCGGCGAGGGAGUGAAAAGAACCUGAAACCGUGUACGUACAAGCAGUGGGAGCACCUUCGGGUGUGACUGCGUACCUUUUGUAUAAUGGGUCAGCGACUUAUAUUCUGUAGCAAGGUUAACCGUAUAGGGGAGCCGCAGGGAAACCGAGUCUUAACUGGGCGUUAAGUUGCAGGGUAUAGACCCGAAACCCGGUGAUCUAGCCAUGGGCAGGUUGAAGGUUGGGUAACACUAACUGGAGGACCGAACCGACUAAUGUUGAAAAAUUAGCGGAUGACUUGUGGCUGGGGGUGAAAGGCCAAUCAAACCGGGAGAUAGCUGGUUCUCCCCGAAAGCUAUUUAGGUAGCGCCUCGUGAAUUCAUCUUCGGGGGUAGAGCACUGUUUCGGCUAGGGGGUCAUCCCGACUUACCAACCCGAUGCAAACUACGAAUACCGAAGAAUGUUAUCACGGGAGACACACGGCGGGUGCUAACGUCCGUCGUGAAGAGGGAAACAACCCAGACCGCCAGCUAAGGUCCCAAAGUCAUGGUUAAGUGGGAAACGAUGUGGGAAGGCACAGACAGCCAGGAUGUUGGCUUAGAAGCAGCCAUCAUUUAAAGAAAGCGUAAUAGCUCACUGGUCGAGUCGGCCUGCGCGGAAGAUGUAACGGGGCUAAACCAUGCACCGAAGCUGCGGCAGCGACACUAUGUGUUGUUGGGUAGGGGAGCGUUCUGUAAGCCUGCGAAGGUGACCUGUGAGGGUUGCUGGAGGUAUCAGAAGUGCGAAUGCUGACAUAAGUAACGAUAAAGCGGGUGAAAAGCCCGCUCGCCGGAAGACCAAGGGUUCCUGUCCAACGUUAAUCGGGGCAGGGUGAGUCGACCCCUAAGGCGAGGCCGAAAGGCGUAGUCGAUGGGAAACAGGUUAAUAUUCCUGUACUUGGUGUUACUGCGAAGGGGGGACGGAGAAGGCUAUGUUAGCCGGGCGACGGUUGUCCCGGUUUAAGCAUGUAGGCUGGUUAUCCAGGCAAAUCCGGAUAAUCAAGGCUGAGGUGUGAUGACGAGGCACUACGGUGCUGAAGUAACAAAUGCCCUGCUUCCAGGAAAAGCCUCUAAGCAUCAGGUAACAUCAAAUCGUACCCCAAACCGACACAGGUGGUCAGGUAGAGAAUACCAAGGCGCUUGAGAGAACUCGGGUGAAGGAACUAGGCAAAAUGGUGCCGUAACUUCGGGAGAAGGCACGCUGGUGUGUAGGUGAAGUCCCUGCGGAUGGAGCUGAGACCAGUCGAAGAUACCAGCUGGCUGCAACUGUUUAUUAAAAACACAGCACUGUGCAAACACGAAAGUGGACGUAUACGGUGUGACGCCUGCCCGGUGCCGGAAGGUUAAUUGAUGGGGUUAUCCGUAAGGAGAAGCUCUUGAUCGAAGCCCCGGUAAACGGCGGCCGUAACUAUAACGGUCCUAAGGUAGCGAAAUUCCUUGUCGGGUAAGUUCCGACCUGCACGAAUGGCGUAAUGAUGGCCAGGCUGUCUCCACCCGAGACUCAGUGAAAUUGAACUCGCUGUGAAGAUGCAGUGUACCCGCGGCAAGACGGAAAGACCCCGUGAACCUUUACUAUAGCUUGACACUGAACAUUGAGCCUUGAUGUGUAGGAUAGGUGGGAGGCUUUGAAGCGUGGACGCCAGUCUGCGUGGAGCCAACCUUGAAAUACCACCCUUUAAUGUUUGAUGUUCUAACGUUGGCCCCUUACCGGGGUUGCGGACAGUGUCUGGUGGGUAGUUUGACUGGGGCGGUCUCCUCCCAAAGCGUAACGGAGGAGCACGAAGGUUAGCUAAUCCUGGUCGGACAUCAGGAGGUUAGUGCAAUGGCAUAAGCUAGCUUGACUGCGAGCGUGACGGCGCGAGCAGGUGCGAAAGCAGGUCAUAGUGAUCCGGUGGUUCUGAAUGGAAGGGCCAUCGCUCAACGGAUAAAAGGUACUCCGGGGAUAACAGGCUGAUACCGCCCAAGAGUUCAUAUCGACGGCGGUGUUUGGCACCUCGAUGUCGGCUCAUCACAUCCUGGGGCUGAAGUAGGUCCCAAGGGUAUGGCUGUUCGCCAUUUAAAGUGGUACGCGAGCUGGGUUUAGAACGUCGUGAGACAGUUCGGUCCCUAUCUGCCGUGGGCGCUGGAGAAUUGAGGGGGGCUGCUCCUAGUACGAGAGGACCGGAGUGGACGCAUCACUGGUGUUCGGGUUGUCAUGCCAAUGGCACUGCCCGGUAGCUAAAUGCGGAAGAGAUAAGUGCUGAAAGCAUCUAAGCACGAAACUUGCCCCGAGAUGAGUUCUCCCUGAGACUUUAAGUCUCCUGAAGGAACGUUGAAGACGACGACGUUGAUAGGCCGGGUGUGUAAGCGCAGCGAUGCGUUGAGCUAACCGGUACUAAUGAACCGUGAGGCUUAACCUU